GCCUGGGUGGCUCAGUCGGUCGAGCGCCCGACUUCAGCUCAGGUCACGAUCUCGCGGUCCGUGAGUUCGAGCCCCGCGUCAGGCU
rfam:Felis catus isolate Cinnamon breed Abyssinian chromosome B4, whole genome shotgun sequence.